rnacentral:rRNA from 1 species
CUGAUUGAUGGUGCUUGCACCUGAUUGACGAUGGAUCACCAGUGAGUGGCGGACGGGUGAGUAACACGUAGGUAACCUGCCCCGGAGCGGGGGAUAACAUUUGGAAACAGAUGCUAAUACCGCAUAACAACAAAAGCCACAUGGCUUUUGUUUGAAAGAUGGCUUUGGCUAUCACUCUGGGAUGGACCUGCGGUGCAUUAGCUAGUUGGUAAGGUAACGGCUUACCAAGGCGAUGAUGCAUAGCCGAGUUGAGAGACUGAUCGGCCACAAUGGAACUGAGACACGGUCCAUACUCCUACGGGAGGCAGCAGUAGGGAAUCUUCCACAAUGGGCGCAAGCCUGAUGGAGCAACACCGCGUGAGUGAAGAAGGGUUUCGGCUCGUAAAGCUCUGUUGUUGGAGAAGAACGUGCGUGAGAGUAACUGUUCACGCAGUGACGGUAUCCAACCAGAAAGUCACGGCUAACUACGUGCCAGCAGCCGCGGUAAUACGUAGGUGGCAAGCGUUAUCCGGAUUUAUUGGGCGUAAAGCGAGCGCAGGCGGUUGCUUAGGUCUGAUGUGAAAGCCUUCGGCUUAACCGAAGAAGUGCAUCGGAAACCGGGCGACUUGAGUGCAGAAGAGGACAGUGGAACUCCAUGUGUAGCGGUGGAAUGCGUAGAUAUAUGGAAGAACACCAGUGGCGAAGGCGGCUGUCUGGUCUGCAACUGACGCUGAGGCUCGAAAGCAUGGGUAGCGAACAGGAUUAGAUACCCUGGUAGUCCAUGCCGUAAACGAUGAGUGCUAGGUGUUGGAGGGUUUCCGCCCUUCAGUGCCGGAGCUAACGCAUUAAGCACUCCGCCUGGGGAGUACGACCGCAAGGUUGAAACUCAAAGGAAUUGACGGGGGCCCGCACAAGCGGUGGAGCAUGUGGUUUAAUUCGAAGCUACGCGAAGAACCUUACCAGGUCUUGACAUCUUGCGCUAACCUUAGAGAUAAGGCGUUCCCUUCGGGGACGCAAUGACAGGUGGUGCAUGGUCGUCGUCAGCUCGUGUCGUGAGAUGUUGGGUUAAGUCCCGCAACGAGCGCAACCCUUGUUACUAGUUGCCAGCAUUAAGUUGGGCACUCUAGUGAGACUGCCGGUGACAAACCGGAGGAAGGUGGGGACGACGUCAGAUCAUCAUGCCCCUUAUGACCUGGGCUACACACGUGCUACAAUGGACGGUACAACGAGUCGCAAGCUCGCGAGAGUAAGCUAAUCUCUUAAAGCCGUUCUCAGUUCGGACUGUAGGCUGCAACUCGCCUACACGAAGUCGGAAUCGCUAGUAAUCGCGGAUCAGCAUGCCGCGGUGAAUACGUUCCCGGGCCUUGUACACACCGCCCGUCACACCAUGGGAGUUUGUAACGCCCAAAGUCG